GAUGAACGCUGGCGGCGUGCCUAAUACAUGCAAGUCGAGCGAAUGGAUUAAGAGCUUGCUCUUAUGAAGUUAGCGGCGGACGGGUGAGUAACACGUGGGUAACCUGCCCAUAAGACUGGGAUAACUCCGGGAAACCGGGGCUAAUACCGGAUAACAUUUUGAACCGCAUGGUUCGAAAUUGAAAGGCGGCUUCGGCUGUCACUUAUGGAUGGACCCGCGUCGCAUUAGCUAGUUGGUGAGGUAACGGCGCACCAAGGCAACGAUGCGUAGCCGACCUGAGAGGGUGAUCGGCCACACUGGGACUGAGACACGGCCCAGACUCCUACGGGAGGCAGCAGUAGGGAAUCUUCCGCAAUGGACGAAAGUCUGACGGAGCAACGCCGCGUGAGUGAUGAAGACUUUCGGGUCGUAAAACUCUGUUGUUAGGGAAGAACAAGUGCUAGUUGAAUAAGCUGGCACCUUGACGGUACCUAACCAGAAAGCCACGGCUAACUACGUGCCAGCCGCCGCUGUAA
rnacentral:rRNA from 1 species